rnacentral:rRNA from 1 species
AGCAGCCGCGGUAAUUCCAGCUCCAAUAGCGUAUAUUAAAGUUGUUGCAGUUAAAAAGCUCGUAGUUGAAUUUCGGGGUCAGUAGGUCGGUCGUGCCACUGGUAUGAACUGGUCUCACUGAUUCCUCCCUCUUGUAGAACCGUGAUGCCAUUAAUUUGGUGUUGCGGGGAAACAGGACUGUUACUUUGAAAAAAUUGAGUGUUUAAAGCAAGCUAACGCCUGAAUACAUUAGCAUGGAAUAAUGAAAUAGGACGUCGAUCUUAUUUUGUUGGUUUCUAGGGUUGACGUAAUGAUUAAUAGGGAUAGUUGGGGGCAUUAGUAUUCAAUUGUCAGAGGUGAAAUUCUUGGAUUUUAUUGAAGUACUAACUACUGCGAAAGCAUUUGCCAAGGNUGUUUUCAUUAAUCAAGAACGGAAGUUAGGGAUCGAAGACGAUCAGNUACCGUCGUAGUCUUAACCAUAAACUAUGCCGACUGGGAUCGGAUGAUGUUUAAUUUUUAAUGUACUCAGUUCGGCGUCCUU